rnacentral:rRNA from 1 species
GAGUUUGAUCGUGGCUCAGAACGAACGCUGGCGGCAUGCCUAACACAUGCAAGUCGAACGAUCCCUUCGGGGAUAGUGGCGCACGGGUGCGUAACGCGUGGGAACCUGCCCUUAGGUUCGGAAUAACUCAGAGAAAUUUGAGCUAAUACCGGAUAAUGUCUUCGGACCAAAGAUUUAUCGCCUUUGGAUGGGCCCGCGUUGGAUUAGCUAGUUGGUGGGGUAAAGGCCUACCAAGGCGACGAUCCAUAGCUGGUCUUAGAGGAUGAUCAGCCACACUGGGACUGAGACACGGCCCAGACUCCUACGGGAGGCAGCAGUGGGGAAUAUUGGACAAUGGGCGAAAGCCUGAUCCAGCAAUGCCGCGUGAGUGAUGAAGGCCCUAGGGUUGUAAAGCUCUUUUACCAGGGAUGAUAAUGACAGUACCUGGAGAAUAAGCUCCGGCUAACUCCGUGCCAGCCGCCGCCGUAAU